rnacentral:rRNA from 1 species
UUGGAGGGGAAGUCUGGUGCCAGCAGCCGCGGUAAUUCCAGCUCCAAUAGCGUAUAUUAAAGUUGUUGCAGUUAAAAAGCUCGUAGUUGAAUUUCGGGACCAAUAUGUCGGUCGUGCUUCGGUACGUACUUGCAUUAUUGGUUUCUCCCUUCUGAAGAACCAUGAUGUCAUUAAUUUGGUGUCUUGGGGAAUCAGGACUGUUACUUUGAAAAAAUUAGAGUGUUUAAAGCAGGCUCGCGCUUGAAUACAUUAGCAUGGAAUAAUGAAAUAGGACGUUCGAUCCUAUUUUGUUGGUUUCUAGGAUUGACGUAAUGAUUAAUAGGGAUAGUUGGGGGCAUUAGUAUUCAAUUGUCAGAGGUGAAAUUCUUGGAUUUAUUGAAGACUAACUACUGCGAAAGCAUUUGCCAAGGAUGUUUUCAUUAAUCAAGAACGAAAGUUAGGGGAUCGAAGACGAUCAGAUACCGUCGUAGUCUUAACCAUAAACUAUGCCGACUAGGGAUCGGAUGAUGUUAAUUUUUUAAUGACUCAUUCGGCGCCUUACGGGAAACCAAAGUGUUUGGGUUC